rnacentral:lncRNA from 1 species
UUCAAUCUCUCUAAGAACCUCACUUCUUAAUCAGUGUAGAUUUAGACUGUUUUAAAAUGGUGUUGAGUAAAUUUCUUUACGUUCAUAUGUAUAUAGUACAUUGUGGUUUUUCUUACUAAAGGACCUCUUUUCUUUGCAGGUGAUGGUAUUCAAUGAGUCUCCAUGAUCUUUAUCUUAUAAUACUCUAGACAUGGAUGAAAACAAUAGGAGAUAAGGGUAGUAAGCUAAUAAACUAGAAAAGCUAAUCAAUGUAAAGUCAUUGUGAUAUCUUUCUGGAUAAAUGUGUUACCAUACAUCAGUAAAUAUAAGAUUAUUGUUCAAUGUAAUUCUUUUAGAAAUUUCGAGUUCAUAUUAUAGAACCAAGAUACUGUAGUAUCUAUAAGAGGGCUUAAAAAAAGGUAUUUUUAUCUAUGAGCCUACCUUGGGGGGGAGAAAAAUAAGGAUUAGCUUUCAAAAUCAAUUGCCAACAUGGUGCUAUGAUAGAAACAUGAUAUUAUUGUAAUUCCCCGAGUCUGUACCCUGGAUGCUACACGGUGCUCAUAAUCCUGAGGGACCACAAACUAACCUAUGACUGGUACCUACUGCAAUAACUAUAUAAUAAUACUAUAAUUAUGUGAAAAUUAUGUAGAAACUUGCCACAAGGUUCAAAAUUAAAAGUAAAUACUAAAUACUAAAAACUAAAUACUAAUACAUUUGUCUGAAAUACUCUAGUCUGAAAAGCCUCUACUAUCUAAACAAGGAGUUGAUGGGAUAAGUCCCCAACUAACUCCGACUACUGAAAUAAAUUGAGUACUGAAAUACUGAAAUCAUAAGUCUAUCCUCAAACUAUGAGGACUCACCACUAAGUCUGCUACUAAUAGAUCAGGAUGCUAAGUAUGAUCAGGAGCCCUUGCAUCUGAACCUAUGAUAUAAGAAAUCAUAGAGAAAAAGAAAGGUAUGCGUCAGUACUUUGAAUGUACUAGCAUGCUAAGUAAGGUAAGCUGAGAUGCAUGGGUUCAUAUGCAUGAUCAAUACUGACUGAAUGACAUGAUUUUAACUAAAUGAGACUACAUGUAUGAAUAUGUAAACUGUAGCUAAGAUAAUGAUAACACUAGAUAGUGAGUUCUGAAUUAUCGAUUUACUGAUAUCUGAGUGUACUGACACUGUGUGUCUGAUAACUGAGUGACUGUAUCUAAUAGUCUUAAUUUUGAAGAACUGGUUUGAGUAACUGUACCUGGUAGUCCUAAAUCUGUAGAACUGAAUUAAGUUCUAUACUGAGACUGAAUAUAAAACUGAGAUUGUAGGAGGUAAUCAUCUAAUCGACAUAUGUCAUUAUCGUGCCAUGGGUAAAUACAACUGGAUGUAGGGUCAGUCCUAGUCUAACGGGUGAACCCUGAGAUCAGUCCUAACUAACGGGUGAUCCUUAAGUAUGUCAGUCCUAUCUAACGAGUGAUAUCUUAUAACCUACACUAGCUACAUAGUUUUGGAAGUAAGGGAUUACUUCUAGGGACCUAGUCCUAGCUAACUGGUGAGUCCCCAUGCCUAGGCUCACUCGAUGCUAAAUCCUACUCCUAACUGAAUAGACACUAAAUUGAUUCCUAGUUCAUACUAGGCUUGACUGAACUGUUACUGAUAUACUAUCUAACUGAACUGAACUGAGUUAACUGAGUUUUGUUGACUGACAAAAUACUAUGAAAUUUUGUUAACUAACUAAAUUUAAUGAGGUCUGAAUUGAAUAUUGAAAUGGACUGCACAGAUACUGAGUCUAUUGAGUUUUUCUUGGGUUCUGUAACUGACUGAGAGUACUACUGAUCGUGACAUGAUUGAUACUAUCCUAAGUCUGACCAUGGCUCUAGGUACUCAACUAAAUUGUCGAUUAUUAAAUACCCCUAGGAAUCGAUAACAUAAAUUAUAAGACAUGGCUCAAUCUAGAAAAAUGUUAACUAACUACUUGUUCAUCAUUCAUUCAUUGGGACAUUCUAGAAAACACUUGCAUGACCUGAACUUGAAUACAUGCUUACAUGAUAUAAUUUGAUGAUUUAAUUUUGAUGAACAACUCAUCAAACACUUGGAAGACAUUGUAUAUGCACAUAGUACUAAUCAACACAUAAGAAUCACAAUUUCAAGGCUUUAACAUGAAUUCACAUGAUACUACAUACAUAAUAGUUGUUUUUACAUAAAUCUUGUACUUAAUCAUGGAAUAUAAAUCCAAUCAACAUUAUAAUCAUGAAUACACUUGAAUCCAAAUUAUAAAAAGCAUGAAAUCAAGCUACUUGAAGUUUAAAAGAGUUUCCUGGACUCCAAGGGUGGAAGAAACCCUUGGAUGAACACUUGGCAUACCUUAAUAAUUAAAUUUUGAAAUAUUGAUGGUAAGUUCUUAAGCCUUGAAUUGAAUUUGAAAUCUCCUAGGAUUUGUUCUUGAGAGAAACUUGUGAAGAAUUAAUAGUUUUUAUUCUUAGAAGGGUUUAAUUUUGUGUUUUGGGGAUGAUAGAUGUGUGAAGAAGACACUAAGAUAGAAUUGCCAACUUACAAAGGCCAAAAUAAUACUAUGUCUGAAUACUUAGCUAGAAUUUUCUAAGUCUCGGACCCCUUAGCAAGCUUGAAAGGAUUAGUUGAGCUUAGAAUUUUUUGGGUCUAACAAUAUCUCCCCCUUGGGAAUAUUCAUCCUUGAAUGAGACUGAUUAAAUUGAGAAUACUGAUAGACUGGACUUAGACACUGAACAUGCAACACUGAAGCAUGAUUUCAUGACUGAAAUUAUUAAUAUACUAAAUUAUCAUACUGAACAUACAUAUCUGAUGCGUGAGUACAUAACUAAAAAUGAUUCAUGAAUGCAUGACUGGGAUUGCUGAUAAGCUAGGCUUAUAUACUAGACAUGCAUGUCUGAUGCAUGAGUACAUGAUUGAACUGAUUCGUGAAUGCAUGACUGAAUAUAAAAUGGUAAUGGAUACAAAGUUUAUAACUGUAACUGAACAUAGACUACGCCAACCUAAGGAAGACUGUUACCUUAAGCUGAGAAUACUGAUGAACCUGAGAUUAUUUACCAAACAUGUAUGAAUGGGAACAUGAUAAUACUACAGAGAAUGAAAUGGGAUACAUGAACUGAAUAUCAUAAACUAAAAUGAGCCCCUGAAUAUAUGGCUUAUGACUGAGAUUGGAACUUAAGGUUCUACUCAUGAGUACCCAUUAUUCUAAUUGGAUAUUUUAUGUGAAGAAAAAUUGGGAGGUUUAGUACAUGAAUGCUCAGGGAUUAUGGUACAUCUCCCCUUUGGUACAUUAUGUCCCUUGAAGAAUGCUGACUUGGCUGAGAUACUGAAAAAAAGCUGGGAUAAUGCAUAGGGCACCUUCGAACUGAGUCGUGACUGAAUAUCUAGGAUCUAAAUCUGGGACAUGAUACAUGAACUAAGCUGAACACAUAAUUACCUGGUUUCUCCGUCUUGGAAUGGUUAAAUUUAUGAGGCUUCAGAUAGUGUGACUAAAUGGAAGGAUGGGAAACCCAACCAUACAAACAUUAUCCGCCUAGCUUCUAAACUGAAUUGCUGGUUUUACGUACUAACUUAUGCUAGAAACUUAUAUUAGACAGGAGCCUUUCUUUGACACUCUUUAUAUAGAGUUCUAGUGGCUUUAAGAAGUAAGGAGUGUUGGCAUGGCUAAAUAAAAUAGCUGAAUAAGAAAAUCACAUCUUGGCUAAAAUUCUGUAAUAUGAGUCGAGGCCUAUGCACUGCAACUACAAUUUUUCAAGCUUAGACAUAUCCCUUGAAUAAUCUCUCAACUAUACUCUCUACCUUAGUACAAAACUUCUCCUAAGACUACUAAAAUAUUCACAUGGGCACUGAGCAUGAGUGCAUAAACACACUAACUUAUCUGUUUAUCUGAGUGGAUGAUAGCUGAAUACUUGGUCAAGUAAUAUUGAACUCUACUUAGUCUAAAUAACUGGGCUGAAACUGUAGGGUAUUAUGCAUAUGAGAUAAGGAAUGACUGAGUAACAUAGGAUAAUUGAGCAUGAAUUCAUGAAAAUUAUAUUAUUUGAGAAUGCAUGACCAAGCAUAUAAUAUUAUUUUGAAAUAGUCUGUAAACUGAGGUAUUGAAAUACUGAUACCUAAAUAACUGAUAACUGUACGCUAUGGUCAAGCAAACUUGAAACUGAAUUGAGUUAUUGAUCUGAUUACUGGAUUGAGACUAUGACUGACACUGUAACUGAGACUGCAACUGAGAUUGUACUAGAACCUAAUAUUGGGUUCUGAUAACUCUACCUACUGAGGUCUUAUUUGGACUGAAUUCUCCCACUAUGUUCAAGCCUAAUCAAAUUUCCAAAAUGCAUUUACCCACUUACACAUCAACAUGACAUGAAGCCUAUCUUUAUAACUACAGCCUCAUGUAAAACUAGCAUGCAAUAAUAUUUUCUUAACAUGAAAUAUUUACUCUCUCUGAGCUAAGCAACUGCUCGUUUCUACAUCACUUCAUAAGGAGAGUUCACGUAAGGUUAAAACAUGAGGACCUGAAUCAUGAAUGGAACUACACCGAUCUUGACACUUAACUGAGGCCUGAGGAAUAUGAUAUCAACAUCCUAGAUUUUGUCAAGAAACCUAAAUUGAGGAUUUACAUAAUGAAAUUCGAAUUUAGCUGAUCAUUAAGAGUAUAGCAUAAGUCAUGGGAACUGAGCAUACUAUAAAGCAUGACAUGAGUACAUGAGUCAUGAGCUGCAUGACUUGAUUUUGGAGUUUUUGUAUUAAUGGAUCGUGAUUCGUAACACAGAGUAAACUGGAACUCCUUAUAAUAGGAAUUAUAAGCGUACACGAUUCUUGUUAAUGAGCACGAAUAUGAGCUAUGAUCAUAAAGCUGACAUGUAAGGCAAGUUUAGUUGUCGUGAUAGCUGAAAUACAAAACUUUACAUUAGGGUAAGGAUAGGUUGGACAUCAAUCUCUCCCACUACUUUUCUACACAGUCUAACAUUACAACUAAAAUCUGAAGGCCUGACUUUCUGAGAUAUCAUAACUGACUAGCUCCUAUAUACUCGCUAACUAUAAUAGACUAACCCACUGGGGUGGAGACUGAGAAAGGUUCUGUUAAGGUUUCCGGUCUAACUUUGAAAUCGACUGCUAUGUAAGGAGCUAUGAAAGACAGGGAAGCUACUAAAUCUAAUAAGAAAAAACAUGUAAAUGGAAGAUAUGCAAUGUACCAGUGACCGCAUCAAGAAAAUUUUCCUGAUCUCGUCUGGACUAAAGUGCCUAGAGCUUGUUUGGGCGUUGCCCACUGGUAGAACCAGAAGUAGCACCCUGCUGAUUUGAGCGAUUAGACUGAGCUGAAGAAUGAUUAAACUGACCCUGUUGGUGUAAAUAUUUUCCCCUUUGAGUCAUUACUCUAAACUCUUGCAUCCUAUGGCCUGUCUUACCAUAUCCAAACCAUACAUCGCUACCUGCUCUACACACACCUAGGUGAAUUCUACCAUAUUAUUUGGAAAGUGGAUGGAUAUGACCACUACUCAUACAACCCUGGGUUUUAGAGCCUAGCACCCCAUCAUGACUAUCAUUCUUGAACUAUGGUAUUGGUGCACUAGCUGAGGAUGGAGCUAGAACUAAAGAUUUUGGAUGAAACUGGGAAUAAUUAUCGCUCUCUAACUUAGGCUAAUUUAAAUUAAAACUACCUGUUCUAUCUCUCUUGUUCUUCUUCUUCUUCUUCUUAAGCUUUUGCUCCUCAACCUGUGGAGCAUGGAACACAAGACUGGAUAUGUCCAUCUCCUUAAUUAGCAUCGUUGUCCUGCACUCCUUAACCAUACUAUCUAACACCCCAAACAUGAACUUGCUCAUUCUAGACCUAUUGCCUGCUACUACAUGGGGAGCAUACCUGGAUAAUUGAAUAAAUGUAAGGAAAUACUCUUUCACAUUCAUACUACCUUGCCUGAGAUUGAUAAAAUCUAACACCUUGGCUUCUCUCACUCUAAGGGAAAGAAUCUAUCUAGAAAAGCAGUAGAAAACUCUUCACAUUCUAUGGGCACUGCAACUGUGUUCCUAUCUACCUUCCACUGCUUAAACUAUGUAUGAGCUAUAUCUUGUAGCUGAUAGGUAUCAAACUCAACACUCUUACUAGAAGUUACUCCCAUAAUGUCUAUGACUUUUUGAACCUGAUUAAGGAACUCCUGUGGACCCUCUUCUAACUUAGAUCCUGAGAAUAGGGGAGGAUUCAUUCGAGUGAAGUCCUAAAUCCUAGCUGCAGUAGUAUUGACCACUGGUUUGGCCUGAAAAGAAGCUGGUUAUUUAUUUUAAGCUAUUAUUGAGUUAGAUAAAGUAGUGAAUGCAGGUUUGAAUUCUGCAUGAGAGACAUGCUUGUCCAGUGAAUUUUCCUGAAGGGUCUAAGGUACUGACUAAUUUUUGGUUCUACUUCUGUUAGUCUUCUUGGGAGGCAUGUUCUAUAGCUGAAAAGAAGAAAUGAAUUAGACUGAGAAUUUUGCUUGAGCUCAUGUUCACUCACACGACAUAAAUACUGAAAGAAGGGAAACUUUUCCUAAAAUAUCUCGUAGCCUCCUAUCCAUAAGUCUGGCGCACUACACAUCCAAGCACAAGACUCUACUAGAUACGACUUUCAGACUUCCUAGGACUCUAUUGAACCUUAAGCUCUAAUACCAAGUUUGUAAUUCCUUGAGUCUAUACCCCGGAUGCUACAUAAUGCUCAUAAUACUAAGGGACCACAAGCUAACCCAUGACUGGUACCUGCUGCAAUAAUUGUAUAAUAAUACUGUAAUUAUGUGAAAAUUAGGCAGAAACUUGCCAUAAUGUUCAAACUUGAAAGUAAAUACUAAAUACUUAUACGUUUGUCUGAAAUACUCUGGUCUGAAAAGCCUCUACUAUCUGAAGAAGGAGUUGCUAGGACAAGUCCCCAACUAACUUCGACUACUGAAAUAAACUGAGUACUAAAAUACUAAAAUAAUAAGUCUAUCAUCAAACUAUGAGGACUUACCACUAAGUUUGCUGCUGAUAGAUCGGGUUGCUAAGUAUGAUCAGGAGCCCAUGCGUCUGAACCUAUGGUAUAAGACAUCAUAGCGCAAAAGAAAUGUAUGGUCAAUACUUUGAAUAUACUAGUAUACUAAGUGAGGUAGGCUGAGAUGCAUGGGCUCAUAUGCAUGUACAAUACACACUGAAUGACAAGAGUAUAACUGAAUAAGAGUACAUACAUGAAUACUUAAACUAUAGAUCUUAUCAUGAUAACACUAGAUACUAAGUUUUGAAUUACUGAUUUACUAAUAUCUGAGUUUACUGAUACUGGGUAUCCAAUAACUGAGUGACUAUAUCUGAUAGUCUUGAUUCUAAAGAACUGGUCUAAGUUUUAUACUGAGCUGAGUAAGUGUACCUGAUAGUCCUAAAUCUAUAGAGCUGAACUGAGUUUUAUACUAAGACUGGAUCUGAAAUUGAGACUAUAGGAGGUAAUCAUCUAACCAACAUUCUCUUUUCUAAAUAGAUUGGGGUCCAACCUAUAAUCCCAGUUGGAAGGGUGUUAGUACCGUGCCAUGGGUAAAGACAACUGGUUGUGGGGUUACUCCUAGUAUAGCGGGUGACCCUUGAGAUCUGUCCUAACUAGUGGGUGAUCCCUGAGUAUGUCAGCCCUAUCUAACCAGUGGCAUCUUAUAACCUAUGCUGGUUAUGUAGUUCUGGAACUUAGGGAUUGCUUCUAGGGACCCAGUCCUAGAUAACGGGUGAGCCCCCAUCCCUAGGCUCGCUCGAUGCUGAAUUCUACUCCCAACUGAAUACACACUGAACUGAUUCCUAGUUCAUACUAGGCUUGACUGAACUGUUACUGAUUAUACUGUCUAAAUGAACUGAACUAAGUUUAUUGAGUUCCAUUAACUGAUAGAAUACUACUGAAUUUUAUUAACUGACUGAAUUUACUAAGGUCUAAACUGAUACUGAAUUGGACUGGACUGAUACUGAGUUUACUGAUUUUUUCCUGAGUUUUAUAACUAACUGAGAGUACUACUGACCUUGACAUGAUCAUACUAUCCUGAGACUAAACAUGGCUCUAGGUACUAAAUACCUCCAGGAAUCGAUAGCGUAAAUUUAAGACAUGGGUCAAUCUUGAAACAUGAUAAAUAACUACUUGAUCAUCAUUCAUUCAUAGGGACAUUAUAGUAAACACUUGUAUGACAUGAACUUGAAUACAUGCUAACAUGAUAUAAUUUCAUUAUUUAAUUCUCAUGAACAACUCAUCAAACACUUGGAAGGCAUUGCACAUGCACAUAGUACUAAUCAACACAUGAGCAUCAUAAUUUCAUGGCUUUAACAUGAAUUCACAUGAUACUCUAUUCAUAAUAGUUGUUUUUACAUAAAGCUUGUACUUAAUCAUGGAAUAAAAAUCAAAUCAACAUUAUAAUCAUGAAUACACUUGAAUUCAAAUCAUGGAAAGCAUGAAAUCAAGCUACUUAAAGUUUAAAAGAGUUUCUUGGACUCCAAGGAUAGAAGGAGCCCUUGGAUGAACACUUGACAUACAUUAAUAAUUAAAUUUUGAAAGAUUGAUGGUAAGUUCUUAAGCCUCGAGUUGAAUUUGAAAUCUCCUAGGGUUUGUUCUUCAGAGAAACUAGUGAAAAAUGAAUAGUUUUUGCUCUUAGAAGGGUUUAAUUUCAUGUUUUGGGGUUGAUAGAUGUGGAAAAAAAACCCUAAUACCCCUGAGGAUGCGGCUUUUUAAUUACUAAAAAUUAGAUUGUCUACGCGUAGACCAAUGGGCCGUGUCAAGUCUAUGUUGGUUCACUGGAAUUUACAUUGAACUGAGGGAAAAAUUAUCUGUCGAUGUAAGGGAUGAUGCGACUCAUCGAUAUCGCGUUGACUUACUAUUUGGGUCUCUCAAACAUUGUCUAAACGAGGUCCAAAAAAUCCAAAACUUGUUCGAAAACACCUACUAACAUUCCUGAUCAUGAAUCAAUCUAAAGAUCGAUACUUUAAGGUCAUAAGAGUCAUGAGAUAGAGUUGCUAGCUUAUGAAGGCCAAAAUAAUACUAAGUCUGAAUACUUAGGUAGAACUUUCUAAGUCUGGGACCCCUUAGCUAUCUUAAAAGACUGAGUUGAGCUUAGGAUUUUAUGGGGUGUUACAAUUAUACAUUAUUCACAAGAAGACUUUUAAACAAAUGAAAGAGAAAAAUGGAGUCGUUAGGUUCCUGACAACUGAACUACAGGAAUGCUUGAUAAUAUUCUGGUAUCGUGCCAGUUCCAGAAAAAAUAAUAGAAAGAAAAAAUGGAUGAUGAUGGUGUCCUAUAUAGUACAUGUGUACCUCAAUUAUUUUGGGGGUACCUGCUACCUCAACCAACAUAGGUACCUGUUGGCAAAUGUAAACAAAUCACCUUGUGUUUGUGCCUCUGCCCGGAUUUGAACCUAAAGUGCUUAAGUCCAGUACUGAUUCCUGGUGGUUCCUCAAAUCUUCCUAUUGGAGUAACUAAUAUUGUGGGUCAAGGGUUGGGUGAAUUCAAUAAUUCCUGGUGGUUACACAAAUGUUUGGUGAUGGGAGGAAUAUGACUAUUCCUUCACCCUUUGCAGUAAGAAAUACCACCCACGUAGGAUCUUCUACACAUCAAAUUUUGCAUCUAAAGUUAUAAUGUCAAGAAUUAGUACAAGUGGAAGCUUGAAUUUUAGUAGUUUUAUUAGAAGAUAUGUGUUAAGUCAUUGUAUUUAACUGUUACUUUCACAACUCUUUUCCAUGUCCAAAAUUUUUGUGACUCAUGAUUCUAAACUCCACAAUUUCUCCAAAGUUAUUAUUUAUGCAACCUAAGUAGUUAAGGAUUCUUGGUCACAAACCUCUCUAUAACACUACAAGCAGUUAAAGAUUCUUGGUCACAUGAUCCUACUAUUCAACCCUAUUUGCAGAGACAAUAACAUCAAGACACCAAUGUUAUAGAACAGUAAAAUUGAGAAAACAAUAUAUGGCUUGAACAGUAGUAGCAAAACAACAUUAAAAGUUCAUAACAAUAGUGGCAAAACAGCACAAAAGUGUAGUGCAGUAGCAACACCACAAAAAUAACAGAAAAUACAGAACAACAACAUCUCUUGAAAAUACAGUCGAAUGUACAACAUAGUGACAGCACAAUAAGAUUGAAAUGAGAACAACUAGCAAACACAGUAAAUAUACACUUACAUCAGUAGCUUCAGCUUUCUCAUUUACCCAAUUUUUAUCAAUUUUCUUGCGAAUCGUUGAAAAAUAAAAUUUUGAAACUAAAAAACAUUUUCCAGUAGCUUCUUUCUAUAUUCAAAAAAAUAUAUGUAUGUUAUCAACAUUAAAUAUGAUAUUAUUUUCUUAAAAGAAAUAUAUUUAAAAACAUUUAUAAUUACCAUUCUUUUAUAGAUCAAUCGAUGAGGUACACAACCACCUAUAUGAGUGAUGCACUGACAUUUGAAUCAUAAUUGUUUUUACUUUGUUCAUACUUUAUUUUGAACUCAUCAGACUCCCAAUACACCUUCAUCUUCUUGAAUACUGCAUCUCCCAUCCAAUGUGGUUUUAGAAGCAAUUUUUUCUAAUAUCUUGAAAAAGUUGGGUCAUUUUUUAAGCCACCCUUUUAUUAUAAUUAGACCAUAUAGCAUCAUUAUUGUGAGGAAGCCAUUUAAAUUUCUACUACAUAUAUUAAAUGAAUAUCAUAUUAGCUAUAUAGUCCCAUAUUUAUAUUUAUACAUGAAUCAAAAUGUAAAUUAUUUUUACCUUGAAUUCCUCAAACCAUAUCUCGCGAGUAGACUCUGGAAACUUCUUCUAUGAAGGUCUAGCCAAUUCAAAUUUACUCCGAAUGCAAUUAGCAAUACCAUCAAUAAAUACCUUGUGUGGAUAAAACCUACAUAACAUAUAGUAUUAUCAAACAUAUGCACAUAUAAAUAGUCCACCUAAAUAUAUGUAUAUUAAAUGUUAGUCGUAUUACCCAUCUCUAUCAGGUACAAUCCAUAUUUG